rnacentral:lncRNA from 1 species
AAGGACCUCUUUGUUCUGUGAGGAUUUGUAGCAUCGACAGGCCCCUUGCUCCGCUCCCAGAUCCAGCAGCAAACGGGUCUGCAGGCACAGGGGGCUCGGGAUCCCACGCUCAGUGCUGCCACCAACUCCUCGUGUGUGACUUGGGCAAAUGGCUUCCCGUCACAGGCCCGUCAGCUCCCUCAGCCUAAGAGCCACUAUUCUCUGCGCACCUACUGUGUGCCAGUCACCAGAGCAGCCUUUUGCCGUCCUCCAUCCCAAGGGCUCAUCCCAGCAGUCCAACAAGAUUAGCCCGGAGCUAACAUCUGCUGCCAAUCCUCCUCUUUUUGCUGAGGAAGACUGGCCCUGAGCUAACAUCCGUGCCCAUCUUCCUCUACUUUAUAUGUGGGACACCUACCACACGUGGCAUGUCCGUACAGAGGAUCUGAACCGGCG